UUCCGGUUGAUCCCGCCGGAGGCGACCGCUAUUGGAAUUCGAUCAAGCCAUGCGAGUCGAGAGUCUUAGGGACUCGGCAUACUGCUCAGUAACACGUGGAUAACCUGCCCUGUUCUAGGGGAUAACCUCGAGAAAUUGAGAAUAAUACCCUAUAGUCCACUACGCCUGGAACGGUGAGUGGAUCAAAGCUCCGGCGGAACAGGAUGGGUCUGCGGCAUAUCAGGUAGUAGUGGGUGUAAUGGACCCACUAGCCUUCGACGUGUACGGGUUGUGGGAGCAAUCGCCCGGAGAUGGAUUCUGAGACACGAAUCCAGACCCUACGGGGUGCAGCAGGCGCGAAAACUUGGCAAUGCGAGCAAUCGUGACCAGGGAACUCCAAGUGCGUAGGGUAAGACCUACGCUUUUCUUGACUCUUCAAAGGUCUUGGAAUAAGGGGUGGGUAAGGACGGUGCCAGCCGCCGCGGUAAUACCGGCGCCUCAAGUGGUAGUCGCUUUUAUUGGGCCUAAAACGUCCGUAGCCGGUCUGGUACAUUCGUGGGUAAAUCAACCCGCUCAACGGGUUGAAUUCUGCGAGCACGGCCAGACUUGGGACCGGGAGAGGUGUGGGGUACUCUCAGGGUAGGGGUAAAAUCCUGUCAUCCUGAGAGGACCACCUGUUGCGAAGGCGCCACACUAGAACGGAUCCGACGGUCAGGGACGAAACCUAGGGGCACGAACCGGAUUAGAUACCCGGGUAGUCCUAGGUGUAAACGCUGUGGACUUGAUGUUGGGGGCGCUCCGAGCGCUUUCAGUGUCGAAGCGAAGGUGAUAAGUCCACUGCCUGGGGAGUACGGUCGCAAGGCUGAAACUUAAAGGAAUUGGCGGGGGAGCACUGCAACCUGAGGAUUGUGCGGUUUAAUUGGAUUCAACGCCGGG
rnacentral:rRNA from 1 species